AUCAUUGCAGGGGUAGGAGGGACUGGGGCAGAAAGGCUAUCACUUCAUAUGGCCAGCAUUCGCCUGGGUUCACUGACCUCUCACCCCUCCCACUGCCUUUCACCCGUCCACGCUUUCCAGUGGGGUCAUUUUCCCUGUGCCUGAAGAGCCACCUUAAUGCUCCCAAAGGCUUCUGUACUAAAGGCUUGCUUGCCAGCCAGUGGCACUGUUGGUGGUGGGGCCUUUAAGAAAUGGGGCCUCAGGGAAGGUGGUCUGGUCCUAGGGGCGUGCCCUAGAAGAGGAUAAUGGACCCUAACUCCUCUUGCUUGCUCUGAUUCCUGGACACCUGAGGUGAGCAGCUCAGCUUCAUCACAGACUCCCCACGUGAUGUUCUGCCUCACCACAGGCCCCAAAGUGAUGGUCCGGGGACCACAGACUGAAACUUCUGUACCCAGGAGCCAAAAUAAACUCUUCAUUUUAAAUUGUUUACCCCAGAUAUUUGUCAUUGUGACCAAAGCUGACUCGAACGCCACCUUAGUUUUCACUUUAGUAUGAUCCUACUGGUGAUGAGUUAGCUUAGAUUUUAUCUAAUACAUAUUUUUAACUGAAUUUUUAAAGAAUGUUUUGCUGCACAUUGAAUCCAAGGUAGCCAUUAUUUUCUUUCAACACCUUGAAGCUACGAUUUUCUGGUUUCUGGUAAAGAUGUCUCUUGACUCAUGAUGGGUUACCCUUACACCCCGUUAAACCCAUUAUAUGUUGAAAAUAUCUUAAGUCAAAAAAGCACUUAAUCCUGUUCAUCUGGACCACCAGGCAUCAUGGCCCAGCAACACACUGUGCCCUGGAGCACGGCAGUUCAUCCUGACCAUGCGUGGUCCACACCUCACACGGCUGGGGCAAGAGAAGACCAGAAUUCAGAGUGGUUUCCGCUGGCCAUCUGUUGAGUUUGCACCAUUAUAAAGUUGAAGAAUUCUACAAGGAAGAAUGUUCAGUCGGGGACCAUCUGUUUCUGUUGAGGACUCAGCACUACCUGUUUCAGGUCCAAAAGCAAUGUGAUCCCUGACCUUGGAUGGAAACCUUUAAAACUAUGGACCAAAACAACCCUCUUGUCUUUCUAAGUUGAUGAUUUCAGGUGUUUUAACAGUAACAGAAGCCAGAUCCACAUGAGCUCCCUUUAUUAAAUUCUUAAUUCCAGCUGUA